rnacentral:rRNA from 1 species
AGCGAACGCUGGCGGCAGGCUUAACACAUGCAAGUCGAACGGACACUUCGGUGUCAGUGGCGGACGGGUGAGUAACACGUGGGAACGUGCCCUUAGGUUCGGAACAACACAGGGAAACUUGUGCUAAUACCGGAUGUGCCCUUUUUGGGAAAGAUUUAUCGCCUUUGGAGCGGCCCGCGUCUGAUUAGCUAGUUGGUGGGGUAAAGGCUCACCAAGGCUACGAUCAGUAGCUGGUCUGAGAGGAUGGCCAGCCACACUGGGACUGAGACACGGCCCAGACUCCUACGGGAGGCAGCAGUGGGGAAUCUUGCGCAAUGGGCGAAAGCCUGACGCAGCCAUGCCGCGUGGAUGAUGAAGGUCUUAGGAUUGUAAAAUCCUUUCAGC